rnacentral:misc_RNA from 1 species
GGUUAAAGAAGAAACUGGAGUAAGCAAUAAAUUUACAAAGUUUUUAGACUAAAAAAAGACAUUACUUGGUAUAUAUCUAAUUUUUUAGAAGCCAUUAUAAAUUUAUGGUAUUUAAUCUUUAUUCUGAAUCAGAUUGAGGCAGAAUUUAUCGAAAUUUUAGCAUUCAGGUAAGAAAUUUGUCAUAAAUAUAUCUGUGCUCUACAUGAACUUGUGCAGUCUUUCUUGUGACUUUCUGCUAAAGAAAUCUUUCCAUCUCUAUUGCAACAAGUUACAACUAAUUAAAACCUCUAAGUUCUCAUUCAGUGUUACCUUGCACUUUGAUUUAUUCGUUUGUAUUGUUUACCCGCAGACAAAGCCAUCAUGCAUUCUUUGGCAAAUCAGAUUUAUUUUUUGUUUGCAUGCUACAACCACACUCCUUUAACAUCCGUAAGCAAGAUUCAGAGGUUGAGGCA